UAGGGAAUCUUCGGCAAUGGACGAAAGUCUGACCGAGCAACGCCGCGUGAGUGAAGAAGGUUUUCGGAUCGUAAAACUCUGUUGUUAGAGAAGAACAAGGACGUUAGUAACUGAACGUCCCCUGACGGUAUCUAACCAGAAAGCCACGGCUAACUACGUGCCAGCAGCCGCGGUAAUACGUAGGUGGCAAGCGUUGUCCGGAUUUAUUGGGCGUAAAGCGAGCGCAGGCGGUUUCUUAAGUCUGAUGUGAAAGCCCCCGGCUCAACCGGGGAGGGUCAUUGGAGACUGGGAGACUUGAGUGCAGAAGAGGGGAGUGGAAUUCCAUGGGUAGCGGUGAAAGGCGUAGAUAUAGGGAGGAACACCAGUGGCGAAGGCGGCUCUCUGGUCUGUAACUGACGCUGAGGCUCGAAAGCGUGGGGAGCAAACAGG
rnacentral:rRNA from 1 species